UACGUAGGGACCAAGCGUUGUCCGGAAUCAUUGGGCGUAAAGAGCGUGUAGGCGGCUUGUUAAGUCUUGCGUGAAAAUCUCGGGGCUCACCCCGAGCGGUCGUGAGAAACUGGCAGGCUAGAGUGCGGGAGAGGAGAGUGGAAUUCCUGGUGUAGCGGUGAAAUGCGCAGAUAUCAGGAAGAACACCCGUGGCGAAGGCGGCUCUCUGGAACGCAACUGACACUGAGACGCGAAAGCGUGGGGAGCAAACAGG
rnacentral:rRNA from 1 species